GAGAUGGGUACAAAAGCUGCCCCCUCUUGCCUUCAAGGACAACUCUGAAGGUGAAAUUUGCACUUCAGGGCCCUGAGGGAUCAGGCCCAGGCUAAAUUUUUCUACAGCACCCCUCUACUUGGCUUCUUCCCUUUCCCCAUCCUGAUCUCCUCACCCUUUACAGGUUUUCCUGAGGAGAACAUCCUCAUAAAUCACAUGCACCCAAAUCCCCAUCUCAGUCCCUGACAGUUUAUCUGCUUACUGUCUGUCCCCACUUCUCAAGAGGAAAUAAACUAAGAGAGCAGCGACUUGACCCGGCUCCCUCACUGCUCUGUUCCUAUUGCCUGGAGCUUGGCAUGAAGUAACUACAACAUGUGAUGAGAUGAAUAAACGUUGAAUGAGGAUAUGAAUUCCAGUCGCUUUGCGUGUCUUUCCCCUAAUUCUUGUGACAACCGAGAGGUAGAUACCGCUUCUUUUCAUAUUACAAGAUAACAGCCCUAGGCAGUGCUCCGGCAGCCGCUGAGCCCUGUUGUCCUCUGUUGGCACCAUCACCUGACCUCCAGGGAAAGGGUCCAGCAUUUCCCUGCAUCGUCCUGACGCAGGUGUGGGUGUGGAUCCCUCCCUGAUCCAAUGCAGGACAGGCUGUACUGAUGAUGAAAGGACACGUGGCACAGAGCAUAAUUCAGACACACAUGAGUCAGGACCCAGCCCGAGGCCCUUUCCUUGGCACAUUCCCAGGCUCUCUCGCAGGUAAUCUCCCAGGGACAAGGAAAGCCACCCUCCACCAACAGAAAUGCUUCCGGCAAUUGCAUGACACUGAAGCUGCCAAGCAUUGCCAGAUCUAGAGUAAAGAAAAUAUUCCUCCUACCACUACCAGAUGGUGUCAGAAGUGGGAUCCAAAGUAGAGUUUCUAACAUCCCCUAGGAGCACUGAGUGACCAAGUGAGGAACUCUCUGGACCCAUUGUGUCCAUUGAUCUCUUGGAGCAGCUGGGAAUUGUGGCAACUGAAUUGUUUUUCUCCAUUUUUUUCUUCUUGCCACUCUUGAUGCAUACAUGAGAGGACCUAAGAUAACUUCUAACAGUCUAGGACUCCGUGGGAAAAACAGAGGAGGUGCCACAGACCCCGUUUUGGGAAAAACCUGUUUUCCUCAUGAAACCCCAGGAAUUAGAAGCAGAUAGAUCUCUCUCAAAAUCUAAGGCUAAGUAUACUUUUAGGGAUGGCAAAUGGCAGUUGGGGAAACACUCAGCUCUUUGCACAUUGGAUCAGAGAAGCAUGAUCUUGGCCACCUGGAAAGUAUGGAAAUGUCCCCACCCCCUACCAAGAGAUAAGACUCCCAUUGGGGUGUACUAAUCACAGAAUGGGCUGAUCAGC